rnacentral:rRNA from 1 species
GCGGCGUGGAUUAGGCAUGCAAGUCGAGCGCUCAUAGCAAUAUGGGAGCGGCGAACGGCGUAGGAAUUCAUAGGAACGUACCCUCAGGUCGGGGAUAGCUACGGGAAACUGUAGGUAAUACCCGAUGAUCUCUGCGGAGCAAAGGUGUGAUUCCGCCUGAGGAGCGGCUUAUGCGAUAUUAGCUAGUUGGUGGGGUAAUGGCCUACCAAGGCGAAGAUGUCUAGGGGGUGUGAGAGCAUGGCCCCCACGACCGGAACUGAGAUACUGUCCGGACACCUACGGGUGGCUGCAGUCGAGAAUCUUCCGCAAUGGACGAAAGUCUGACGGAGCGACGCCGCGUGCGGGAUGAAGGCCCUUGGGUUGUAAACCGCUUUCGGAGGGGAUGAAAUCCUCGAGGGUUAUCCCUCGAGGUUGACAGAGCCUCAAAAGAAGCACGGGCUAAGUACGUGCCAGCAGCCGCGGUAACACGUACUGUGCGAACGUUAUUCGGAAUCACUGGGCUUAAAGGGUGCGUAGGCGGCGAUUCAAGUCAGAUGUGAAAUGCCUGAGCUCAACUGAGGCAUUGCGUUUGAAACUGAAUUGCUAGAGUAUUUCAGGGGUGUGCGGAACUGCCAGUGGAACGGUGAAAUGUGUUGAUAUUGGCAGGAACACCGGAGGCGAAAGCGGCACACUGGGGAAUAACUGACGCUUAGGCACCAAAGCCAGGGGAGCGAACGGGAUUAAAUACCCCGGUAGUCCUGGCUGUAAACGAUGAGCACUGGGCGGGAGGGGGUUUCCCUUUU